CGAACGCUGGCGGCAGGCCUAACACAUGCAAGUCGAGCGGUAGAGAGAAGCUUGCUUCUCUUGAGAGCGGCGGACGGGUGAGUAAUGCCUAGGAAUCUGCCUGGUAGUGGGGGAUAACGUUCGGAAACGGACGCUAAUACCGCAUACGUCCUACGGGAGAAAGCAGGGGACCUUCGGGCCUUGCGCUAUCAGAUGAGCCUAGGUCGGAUUAGCUAGUUGGUGAGGUAAUGGCUCACCAAGGCGACGAUCCGUAACUGGUCUGAGAGGAUGAUCAGUCACACUGGAACUGAGACACGGUCCAGACUCCUACGGGAGGCAGCAGUGGGGAAUAUUGGACAAUGGGCGAAAGCCUGAUCCAGCCAUGCCGCGUGUGUGAAGAAGGUCUUCGGAUUGUAAAGCACUUUAAGUUGGGAGGAAGGGCCAUUACCUAAUACGUGAUGGUUUUGACGUUACCGACAGAAUAAGCACCGGCUAACUCUGU
rnacentral:rRNA from 1 species